ensembl:snRNA U6 U6 spliceosomal RNA
GUGCUCACUUCGACAGCACAUAGACUAACACUGGAAUGAGACACAGAAGAUUAGCAUGGUUGCUGCACAGGAUGACAUGCAAAUUCGUGCGUUGUUCCAUUAAAAA